rnacentral:rRNA from 1 species
AGUGAACGCUGGCGGUAGGCCUAACACAUGCAAGUCGAACGGCAGCACAGUAAGAGCUUGCUCUUACGGGUGGCGAGUGGCGGACGGGUGAGGAAUACAUCGGAAUCUACUUUUUCGUGGGGGAUAACGUAGGGAAACUUACGCUAAUACCGCAUACGACCUACGGGUGAAAGCAGGGGAUCUUCGGACCUUGCGCGAUUGAAUGAGCCGAUGUCGGAUUAGCUAGUUGGCGGGGUAAAGGCCCACCAAGGCGACGAUCCGUAGCUGGUCUGAGAGGAUGAUCAGCCACACUGGAACUGAGACACGGUCCAGACUCCUACGGGAGGCAGCAGUGGGGAAUAGUGGACAAUGGGCGCAAGCCUGACCCAGCCAUACCGCGUGGGUGAAGAAGGCCUUCGGGUUGUAAAGCCCUUUUGUUGGGAAAGAAAAGCAGCAGGUUAAUACCCCGCUGUUCUGACGGUACCCAAAGAAUAAGCACCGGCUAACUUCGUG